GCCUGGCUGGUGUAGUCAAUAGCACAUGCAACUCUUGAUCCUGGGGUUGUGAGUUCGAGCCUCAUGUCAGGUA
rnacentral:tRNA from 1 species